ACGGCGAGAGACUUAUCUUCAUCAAGACAAGUUUGCAAGCACUGGUACGCUCUGUGUUCAUCAGACUGUCUGUGGGAGAAAUUCGUCGGCUCAAGUCAAGCCAACUUACCAAGAUGGCUGGUGCAUAAGCACAGCACGCUACUGUCGUCUCGAAGCACUCGCGUUUUAUAUUUCACGAACAGAUACACGUUUCUGAUUCAAGCCUUGGAUGCAUGGUGGGAA